AUUGUGGGGAAUGUUGUUUGGCUCGAGGAUUCAAUUUCUUACUUUCUUUUAUAGAUCUGUAUAUAUGGAUCUAUAAUAUAGGAUUAUGUCUUUGGUAUCGUCGGACCAGGCUUCAUUCCCCUCAAA
rnacentral:pre_miRNA from 1 species